rnacentral:lncRNA from 1 species
GGAUGAUGCGUGGGGUGGUGCACAGGGGUGGUGCAUCAGGGUGUUGUACUGGGAUGUACUGGGAUGAUGUACUGGGGUGGUGGGGUGGUGAUAUGGUGUAAUGGGAUGAUGCACUGGGAUGUACUGGGAUGGUGCACGGGGCAUUGCACUGGGAUGUACUGGGAUGGUGCAUGGGGAUGGUGUACUGGGAUAGUGCACUGGGAUGUACUGGGAUGGUGCAUAGAGAUGGUGCACAGGACAUUGCACUGGGAUGUACUGGAAUGGUGCCCUGGGAUGGUGCACAGGGUUGUUGUACUGGGAUGGUGUACUGGGAUGGUGCAUGGGGCAUUGCACUGGGAUGUACUGGGAUGGUGCAUGGGGAUGGUGCACAGGGAUGGUGUACUGGGAUGGUGCACUGGGAUGUACUGGGAUGGUGCGCUGGGAUGUUGUACUGGGAUGGUGCACAGGGAUGGUGCACAGGGCAUUGCACUGGGAUGUACUGGAAUGGUGCCCUGGGAUGGGGCACGGGGUUGUUGUACUGGGAUGUUGUACUGGGAUGGUGCAUGGAACAUUGCACUGGGAUGUACUGGGAUGGUGCACUGUAAUGGUGCACUGGGAUUGUGCACAGGAUUGUUGUACUGGGAGGGUGUACUGGGAUGGUGCACAGGUCAUUGCACUGGGAUGUACUGGGACAGUGCACGGGGAUGGUGCAUGGGGAUGGUGUACUGGGAUGGCAUGCUGGGAUGUUGUACUGGGAUGGAGCACGGGAAUGUUGCACUGGGAUGUACUGGGAUGGUGCACUGGGAUGUUGUACUGGGAUGGUGCACUGGGAUAGUGCAUGGUGAUGGUGCACGGGGCAUUGCAGGGGCAUCACGGGGGGCACUGCAGGGGACGACCCCCGGGGUGCACGCCUGGAGCUGGCCCGGCACCUCCCCGUGCUGUUCCACAGCCCCAUUUUGGGCCAAAAGAGGGAGAAAAAAGCCAAGGGACCCCCCUGCACCUCCCCACUUCAUCCGCAGCCACGCACCGAGUCACCCCAAGCCUGUCCGGGGAUUUGGGGACAGGGACAGGGAUGGGGACAGGGUUUUUUGGUCAGCUCCCAGCUGCGGGAGGAUGGGGAACCUGUCCGUGCGCCCCUCCCCGGAGGCUCAGCCGUGUCCCCAGACCAGCCUCCCCCCUUCCUUCCUGCUAGGAAAUGUUGCGCUCGAACCUUCCUGCGUCUCAAGCCCAGGGCUGCAAUUUCCAGCCCUGGGGGACCUGGGCAAUCAUCGGCUUCCUUUCCCCGGGGAGAUAAACCAGGAGCCUGGCUCCUCGGGGUGGGGGGGUGCUGGAAUUUGUUGCUCCCCCCUCUAGGAAUUCUCUGCGCCCCAUCCCGCCUCCGUCCCUGGUGUCCUCAAGGUGCUGAGCCCCUCUGCGGGGUCCUGAGCCCAUGGGGAUGCGUCCUAAAGAUGCCCACAGGGCCAGGGGAUGGGGUGGGGGUGCUGGGGGUGGAGGAGGAGGAUGGGGGGGGGUGAGAAAGAGGGGCAGAGAUCAGCUGGGGAGAGCGGGGAGGUCUCCAAAGACGUCUCCCUGGAUUUGGGGAUGGGUCCAGGUCUGGGUCCAGGAGGGUGAACGCUGUAAGGCCGUGGAGAGUGAUUCAGGAGAGGAAAAAAAAAGACAUUUUUCUGCACUCUCCAUUUUCUGGAGCUGAUUCCUGGUCAGGCAGCGAGGGGGGCUUGGGGGAAGCGCCCCCCCCGGCUGGGUCUGUCCCCGAGUGUCCCAUGGGCACGGGGCAGCUGAGGGGACCGUGCCCGCUGCAGCCACACCGGGAGGUGCUGGGCACCGU